ensembl:lncRNA
GCAGUUCGACACAUUUUCAUUUGGUGGCGCUGUGGCUCCUGUGUGGCCGCACUGAUUGAAAGACUGGAAAUGGAGAGAAACGCAAAACUCAAUCCACUGGCAUCAGAUCCGGUGUAUGUCUAGCUGUGCAUCAUGGAAAGAAAUAUGUCAAAACUUGAGGCAUCAGCCAAGUACAGGCAUGAAAAUGACUGGAAACACAAGCAAACAAACAAGCAAAGGACAAAGGACCAAAUUCAGAGAAGCAGGACACUGCUGAACAGCUGAUCUGCCGUUAGCUGCGUAAAUCUCUCUCACGGUGAGCAGCUCCCAGAGCCCAGCUGAAUUAAUCACAGCCACACGGACACACGGGGGGCAGCCUGAGGAGGAGGACCGAGAGGAGGCUAGAGGAGAAACCAUGCUGUGAGAAAAGAGGCAGAGAAGAGACUGGAGAUAAUGAAGGUGCCCUCGCUUGGACCUAAUAUACUCCUUGUAUCAGUGGAACUUAAGGAUAAUGCUUUCCCUGGUGUGCUGAAAGAAGAUAUAAAGAUACUGGAGC